AAGCGCCCGUGAUUGUUAGCGGUUAGGUGUUAAUAUUAAGGAGCAACUCAGGCCAAGGACGCCGCGGGGCUGGCGUCGCUGCGGGGGGUGGAAAGCUGAGCGCGAGGGAGCUCUGAGCUUGCGGCCCCCACCCCACGCCCCGAAGCCCGGCUGUGUGCGGACGCCUUCACCCUCCAGUCUAGGUGGUCCAUGGCUUCUUUGUGUUCUAGAGCUCUCCAUGACAAACGCAGACACCCUGGAGGGCUCCACCGCCUUCCCUCCCUCCAGCGCGGAAACAGUCCCAGAGGCGACGCGAUUUGCCCGAAGUCUGCAACUUCCUGGAACUGGAAACCAAUCGGAAGACUUCCGCGUCGCGGCUCUUUCCGCCGUGAUCAGGUUACCCAGCGCCUCGGGACCUGCUUUUGAAAAGGAGAGGUCGACCUGGGAGAGCCGCUGAACGAGAUACUCUUCGGAAUCGGAUAUUUUCCUCGAAGUGGGAUUACUGGGUUGAAGGGUAUGCACAUAUGUAAGGCUCUUGAUUCAGAGUCCCUCCAGCCGCGCCAGAAUGAGUGAGUCAGCUUCCCAGCAAGCCGGCCAAAACUCGGUGGAGAUUGGACUAACUUUAAAGAAAUAUUCUUAAGGAGCACCGAGAAAUCCUGUGUGGAAAAGGAGACCGUGACACCAGGCACAUUCUGCCCAGUGAGGUGAAACCAAAGGGCUCCAAUGGUCUGGUGUGAUUUGACCAGAAGAUGUAAACACAUUUGAGCCUUGCUCCAGAGGCUUCCCCUGAGCAAGGGAGGGGAAGCUGUGACUUACUAGCUUCCCUAUGUUUGUUAUUUUUUUGUUAUUUUCAUUUCCUGAUGAGGAGUAAAUGUUUCAUAAAGCAAAUGAAAA